UAAUUCUAUUUACUUCACUAGCGGCAAAUAACACAGCGCGAAAAUACUGCUUGAGGCCGAAAGCGCCUGGCAGCACAUGUGGCGGAGGCCCGUUUACAUCGUGGUAUUUCGAUUCCAACACCCGCGAAUGCAAAGCGUUCAUCUUCGGUGGAUGCAACGGGAACCUGAACAGGUUUUCUUCCGAGAGACAGUGUCAGCGAUGGUGCUUACCUGGAAUUCCAGAGAACCCGGUGUGUAGCUUGGAUCAAGUUCAAGGACACGGCAUAGGCCAGUUUUUCGCCUGGUCAUAUGACUCCAAAGCAGACUAUUGUCGUGUAUUUAUGUACAGUGGAUCGGGCGGCAAUUCUAACAACUUUGGAAGUUGUUUUGAGUGCAUGAACAGAUGCAGCGGAAAUGAACACGCUGCGCAAAUCUGCCGCAUUAUGAAUCAUAAUAUUAUGGCUUACUCCUACAAAGGACUUCAAUUCAGCUUUCCUGGAAUUAAAUGAACAGCUUGAGGUUGUAUUUCGGACAAAA
rnacentral:lncRNA from 1 species